CCUACGGGUGGCUGCAGUGGGGAAUAUUGGACAAUGGGGGGAACCCUGAUCCAGCCAUGCCGCGUGUGUGAAGAAGGCCCUCGGGUUGUAAAGCACUUUCAGUGAGGAAGAACGCCUGGUGGUUAAUACCCAUCAGGAAAGACAUCACUCACAGAAGAAGCACCGGCUAACUCCGUGCCAGCAGCCGCGGUAAUACGGAGGGUGCGAGCGUUAAUCGGAAUUACUGGGCGUAAAGCGCGCGUAGGUGGCUUGAUAAGCCGGUUGUGAAAGCCCCGGGCUCAACCCGGGAACGGCAUCCGGAACUGUCAAGCUAGAGUGCAGGAGAGGAAGGUAGAAUUCCCGGUGUAGCGGUGAAAUGCGUAGAGAUCGGGAGGAAUACCAGUGGCGAAGGCGGCCUUCUGGACUGACACUGACACUGAGGUGCGAAAGCGUGGGUAGCAAACAGGAUUAGAUACCCGUGUAGUC
rnacentral:rRNA from 1 species